rnacentral:tRNA from 1 species
GGGAAUGUGGCUUAGUGGUAGAGCGCUUGCCUAGUAUGCAUGAAGCCACAGGUUCAAUUCCUCAGUACUA